rnacentral:rRNA from 1 species
CAGCCGCCGCGGAAUACAGAGGGUGCAAGCGUUAAUCGGAAUUACUGGGCGUAAAGCGCGCGUAUGUGGUUUGUUAAGUUGGAUGUGAAAGCCCCGGGCUCAACCUGGGAACUGCAUCCAAAACUGGCAAGCUAGAGUACGGUAGAGGGUGGUGGAAUUUCCUGUGUAGCGGUGAAAUGCGUAGAUAUAGGAAGGAACACCAGUGGCGAAGGCGACCACCUGGACUGAUACUGACACUGAGGUGCGAAAGCGUGGGGAGCAAACAGGAUUAGAUACCCCCGUAGUCCCUGUCUCUUAUACA